GUAACAACGAAUGAUAAGAAGUCAGCAGAGGCCAUAGUAGUCCGAAAGGAUGAAGGGC
rnacentral:ncRNA from 1 species